UACAGGGGGUGCAAACGUUGCUCGGAAUCAUUGGGCGUAAAGGGCGCGUAGGCGGCCAACUAAGUCAGACGUGAAAUCCCUCGGCUCAACCGGGGAACUGCGUCUGAUACUGGAUGGCUUGAAUUCGGGAGAGGGAUGCGGAAUUCCAGGUGUAGCGGUGAAAUGCGUAGAUAUCUGGAGGAGCACCGGUGGCGAAGGCGGCAUCCUGGACCGAGAUUGACGCUGAUGCGCGAAAGCCAGGGGAGCAAACGGG
rnacentral:rRNA from 1 species